CUACGGGUUGCAGCAGUGGGGAAUAUUGGACAAUGGGGGAAACCCUGAUCCAGCAAUGCCGCGUGUGUGAAGAAGGCCUGCGGGUUGUAAAGCACUUUCGGUUGGGAGGACUGCUUCUAGCACUAAUAUUGUUGGAAGUUGACGUUACCUUCAGAAGAAGCACCGGCUAACUCCGUGCCAGCAGCCGCGGUAAUACGGAGGGCGCAAGCGUUAAUCGGAAUUACUGGGCGUAAAGCGCGCGUAGGCGGCUAGAUCAGUCGGGUGUGAAAGCCCCGGGCUUAACCUGGGAACUGCAUCCGAUACUGUCUAGCUUGAGUACAGGAGAGGAGAGUGGAAUUCCACAUGUAGCGGUGAAAUGCGUAGAUAUGUGGAGGAACACCAAUGGCGAAGGCAGCUCUCUGGCCUGAUACUGACGCUGAGGUGCGAAAACGUGGGGAGCAAACAGGAUUAGAUACCCCCGUAGUC
rnacentral:rRNA from 1 species